rnacentral:lncRNA from 1 species
CAGGAGGUGGACUUUGGAUCCCAGGAGGUGGACUUUGGAAAGCAGAAGUUGGGGUUCACAACUCACAUCAUGCUCCAACUGUGCAGCCUGGCAUCCUUGUGCAGGAAGCCCCCCCUCCACCCUCCCUUGGGCCGUCGGGGACAAUGUGAAGGCUGGAUGCCCUCCCAAUGGGUUUUCUGGUUAUGGAGUGGACCACCCACAUGCAGGUUGCAGAGAUGGGCAAAUAAAA